rnacentral:rRNA from 1 species
UACGGAGGGUGCAAGCGUUAAUCGGAAUUACUGGGCGUAAAGCGCGCGUAGGCGGUUUGCUAAGUCAGAUGUGAAAUCCCCGGGCUUAACCUGGGAACUGCAUUUGAGACUGGUAGGCUAGAAUGUGGUAGAGGUGAGUGGAAUUCCAGGUGUAGCGGUGAAAUGCGUAGAGAUCUGGAGGAACAUCAGUGGCGAAGGCGACUCACUGGGCCAUUAUUGACGCUGAGGUGCGAAAGCGUGGGUAGCAAACAGG